rnacentral:lncRNA from 1 species
CAAGCACAGGCAGUGACGCCACCAGGCAUACUGGAGGGAGUGGAGGCUGGAGGUGACGAGUGGCAACCGACGACGAAAGUCGGAACUCGCAAGUGGAGAUAGUACUACUGCACCACUUCACAACAUCGAUCGCUGAGGUUUUAAUGGGUGGAUGGAUGCGUGCAUCGAAAAAUUCCGUUCGAGGAAGAAUCGAUCCGGUCGCGGGUCGUCCGUCGUCCCCCUGAAGUCUCAACAGAUUUGUUAAUGGUGUAGGGGGACGGCUAACAGUAGUAUGGAGUAUCGAUUCUUUUUUAAAAAAAAAAAAAGGC